rnacentral:rRNA from 1 species
GAAUGGGGAAACCCAGUGUGACUCGUCACACUAUCAUUAACUGAAUCCAUAGGUUAAUGAGGCGAACCGGGGGAACUGAAACAUCUAAGUACCCCGAGGAAAAGAAAUCAACCGAGAUUCCCCCAGUAGCGGCGAGCGAACGGGGAGGAGCCCAGAGCCUGAAUCAGCAUGUGUGUUAGUGGAAGCGUCUGGAAAGGCGCGCGAUACAGGGUGACAGCCCCGUACACAAAAGCGCAUGUGCUGUGAGCUCGAUGAGUAGGGCGGGACACGUGGUAUCCUGUCUGAAUAUGGGGGGACCAUCCUCCAAGGCUAAAUACUCCUGACUGACCGAUAGUGAACCAGUACCGUGAGGGAAAGGCGAAAAGAACCCCGGCGAGGGGAGUGAAAAAGAACCUGAAACCGUGUACGUACAAGCAGUGGGAGCACCCUUUUGGGUGUGACUGCGUACCUUUUGUAUAAUGGGUCAGCGACUUAUAUUCUGUAGCAAGGUUAACCGAUAGGGGAGCCGAGGGAAACCGAGUCUUAAUUGGGCGUUAAGUUGCAGGGUAUAGACCCGAAACCCGGUGAUCUAGCCAUGGGCAGGUUGAAGGUUGGGUAACACUAACUGGAGGACCGAACCGACUAAUGUUGAAAAAUUAGCGGAUGACCUGUGGCUGGGGGUGAAAGGCCAAUCAAACCGGGAGAUAGCUGGUUCUCCCCGAAAGCUAUUUAGGUAGCGCCUCGUGAAUUCAUCUCCGGGGGUAGAGCACUGUUUCGGCUAGGGGGCCAUCCCGGCUUACCAACCCGAUGCAAACUGCGAAUACCGGAGAAUGUUAUCACGGGAGACACACGGCGGGUGCUAACGUCCGUCGUGAAGAGGGAAACAACCCAGACCGCCAGCUAAGGUCCCAAAGUCAUGGUUAAGUGGGAAACGAUGUGGGAAGGCCCAGACAGCCAGGAUGUUGGCUUAGAAGCAGCCAUCAUUUAAAGAAAGCGUAAUAGCUCACUGGUCGAGUCGGCCUGCGCGGAAGAUGUAACGGGGCUAAACCAUGCACCGAAGCUGCGGCAGCGACACUAUGUGUUGUUGGGUAGGGGAGCGUUCUGUAAGCCUGUGAAGGUGUGCUGUGAGGCAUGCUGGAGGUAUCAGAAGUGCGAAUGCUGACAUAAGUAACGAUAAAGCGGGUGAAAAGCCCGCUCGCCGGAAGACCAAGGGUUCCUGUCCAACGUUAAUCGGGGCAGGGUGAGUCGACCCCUAAGGCGAGGCCGAAAGGCGUAGUCGAUGGGAAACGGGUUAAUAUUCCCGUACUUGGUGUUACUGCGAAGGGGGGACGGAGAAGGCUAUGUUGGCCGGGCGACGGUUGUCCCGGUUUAAGCGUGUAGG